rnacentral:rRNA from 1 species
GUUAAAAAGCUCGUAGUUGGAUUUUUGGUGCAUUCCACUGGCCUAUUGGUUAACUCCAACUUGGCUCAUUUGGAAUACGCCAUCUUUAGGCAGACCCGUCGUGGCAUUAGGUUGUCGUGAUGGUUACGCCUAUCGUUUACCGUGAAGAAAUUAGGGUGUUCAAAGCAGGCUUAUGCCAUGAAUACGUUAGCAUGGAAUAAUGAGAUAGGAUUUCGGUACUAUUUUGUUGGUUUGUGUACGGAAAUAAUGAUUAACAGGAACAGUGUUGUGGGUAUUCGUAUUUCGUUGUCAGAGGUGAAAUUCUUGGAUUUACGAAAGACGAACGACUGCGAAAGCAUUUACCAAGGAUGUUUUCAUUAAUCAAGAACGAAAGUUAGGGGAUCGAAGAUGAUUAGAUACCAUCGUAGUCUUAACCAUAAACUAUGCCGACUAGGGAUCGGCGGAGGUCUACUUUGACUUCGUCGGCACCUUAUGAGAAAUCAAAGUCUUUGGGUUCCGGGGGGAGUAUGGUCGCAAGGCUGAAACUU